rnacentral:rRNA from 1 species
AUUGAACGCUGGCGGCAGGCCUAACACAUGCAAGUCGAGCGGCAGCACAGUGAUUGCUUCUUGUUUCGGCGGGCGACGGGCGGGCGAUUCAUAGGUAUCUCCCUGUUUGUGUGUGCUUACGUCCUGACAUGGGCACUCUUACCCCAUUACUCCAGACGACCUACGUGGGGGAUCAUCGGAUCUUCCGCUCUUACGUGAGCCUAGGUCGGAUUAGCUAGUUGGUGGGGUAAAGGCCCACCAAGGCGACGAUCCGUAACUGGUCUGAGAGGAUGAUCAGUCACACUGGAACUGAGACACGGUCCAGACUCCUACGGGAGGCAGCAGUGGGGAAUAUUGGACAAUGGGCGAAAGCCUGAUCCAGCCAUGCCGCGUGGGUGAAGAAGGCCUUCGGAUUGUAAAGCACUUUUGGUUGGAAAGAAAGGCAGUAAGUUAAUACCUUGCUGUUCUGACGGUACCAACAGAAUAAGCACCGGCUAACUUCGUG